GUGAACGCUGGCGGUAGGCCUAACACAUGCAAGUCGAACGGCAGCACAGUAAGAGCUUGCUCUUACGGGUGGCGAGUGGCGGACGGGUGAGGAAUACAUCGGAAUCUACUUUUUCGUGGGGGAUAACGUAGGGAAACUUACGCUAAUACCGCAUACGACCUACGGGUGAAAGCAGGGGGUCUUCGGACCUUGCGCGAUUGAAUGAGCCGAUGUCGGAUUAGCUAGUUGGCGGGGUAAAGGCCCACCAAGGCGACGAUCCGUAGCUGGUCUGAGAGGAUGAUCAGCCACACUGGAACUGAGACACGGUCCAGACUCCUACGGGAGGCAGCAGUGGGGAAUAUUGGACAAUGGGCGCAAGCCUGAUCCAGCCAUACCGCGUGGGUGAAGAAGGCCUUCGGGUUGUAAAGCCCUUUUGUUGGGAAAGAAAAGCAGCAGGUUAAUACCCCGCUGUUCUGACGGUACCCAAAGAAUAAGCACCGGCUAACUUCGU
rnacentral:rRNA from 1 species